rnacentral:rRNA from 1 species
UGGGGAAUAUUGGACAAUGGGCGCAAGCCUGAUCCAGCCAUGCCGCGUGAGUGACGAAGGCCUUAGGGUUGUAAAGCUCUUUUGGCGGGGAAGAUAAUGACGGUACCCGCAGAAUAAGGUCCGGCUAACUACGUGCCAGCAGCCGCGGUAAUACGGAGGGAGCUAGCGUUGUUCGGAAUUACUGGGCGUAAAGCGCACGUAGGCGGAUCAGCAAGUCAGGGGUGAAAUCCCGGGGCUCAACCUCGGAGCUGCCUCUGAUACUGCUGGUUUGGAGUCCGGAAGAGGUGGGUGGAAUUCCUAGUGUAGAGGUGAAAUUCGCAGAUAUUAGGAAGAACACCGGUGGCGAAGGCGGCCCACUGGUCCGGUACUGACGCUGAGGUGCGAAAGCGUGGGGAGCAAACAGGAUUAGAUACCCCCGUAGUCCCUGAGCGGGCUGGCAAGGCGCAU